rnacentral:rRNA from 1 species
CAGCCGCCACGGUAAUACGUAGGUGGCAAGCGUUGUCCGGAAUUAUUGGGCGUAAAGGGCUCGCAGGCGGUUUCUUAAGUCUGAUGUGAAAGCCCCCGGCUCAACCGGGGAGGGUCAUUGGAGACUGGGAAACUUGAGUGCAGAAGAGGAGAGUGGAAUUCCACGUGUAGCGGUGAAAUGCGUAGAGAUGUGGAGGAACACCAGUGGCGAAGGCGACUCUCUGGUCUGUAACUGACGCUGAGGAGCGAAAGCGUGGGGAGCGAACAGGAUUAGAUACCCGUGUAGUCCCUGUCUCUUAUAA